AUAUCGGAGAUGAAGUUCUCCCUGGUCACUGACCAAAACCGCUUAGGCUGAUGACUUCUGCA
rnacentral:ncRNA from 1 species